GGAGAAGUAUCGAAGUGGUCAUAACGGGGCGCACUCGAAAUGCGUUGAACAGAAAUGUUCCGUGGGUUCGAAUCCCACCUUCUCCGCCA
rnacentral:tRNA from 1 species